rnacentral:lncRNA from 1 species
AUUUUAUAGCUGUAGUCAACCUCUCUCAUAAAAAUUACUUUCCUAUUCCAAAACCUAUCAACAUCUUUAUCUCCCUCAUCAUAUCUUCACAUGCAACUCUACCUCAUCAUUUCUCAUCCCAUUGUUCUUACUAAACCUAGAAACUAAAAUCUCUUUCCUAUGAUCAUGCCAUUAAUUUGUUGUAAGCAAAAUCUCUCAUCCCUACCGCCAUGAGAAGAAGGAUUUGUUGCCUGUUACUCAAUGGAACUUCGCAACUCAUAAUCAAUCGAACUCUUACUCAAUCGAACUUAGCAGCUCAUAAUCAAUCGAACUCGCCAUAAACUUAGCAGAUCACCAUUGCUUCCGAGUUCCGACAAUAAGUUCUCAAAAAGGAUUAGCAGCUGUAAUAAGCUUUGGCUUGUUAACAUUGCCAGGUGUUUUUCUAACCAAAGCAUAUGUUGGAUUUCCUGCUUUAAUACUUGCCCAAACUAUGUGUCUUCCAAUAGCUCCUGUUGGUCCUAGG